ACCUUUUAUCUCGAGGAGUCACCCACACACGUCGGGCCUCCACCUCCUGGCCGAGAUUUCCCCUCCGGCGCUGUCCCCGCCGGUCCCCGUCGUCCACACGCGCCGCCAGCGCUGCCUUUGCUCCCCCCGUCCAACCCAGACCCGACUGGGCCGAGCUCAGCCUAGCUCGAGGCCGGUGAGCCGCCACCACCCUUGAUCGGCCGUGCCGCCCUCCUUGGGCCUCCGGCGACCCUCCGCUCGCCGCCGCCGUUGUCCCCGUGAGUAGCCGGUCGCCACCCAGCUCGUUGUGGCCGCCUAGCGCGAGCUCGAGCCGAGCCGAGCUAUCUCGACCUCCGCGCAUCGCCACUGCCCACCGUCGGGCGCACCGCUCUUCCUUGGCUCCGAGCGACGUGCCGCCGUCACCCCGGCGCUCCCCCGGCAGCU
rnacentral:lncRNA from 1 species